ensembl:lncRNA
AUGUGGGGCAUUUGCAGUCCCGGCUGGCUCUUUUUUUUCUAACCUUCACAUAUGUUCUGUCUUUAAAUUACCCUCAUAACCCCAUAAUUCAGCUACUCUGUUGAAAGGAACGGGCAAGCUUUCUUCCCACCUUCACUCGACCCCACCCCAGCGUGGGGUUAAACUAGCUUCACGUGAUCCUGUGAGACUCCUGCCACCGCCCAUUCGUGGCCUCCGGCACUGCUGCUCUGCACCUGGCUCAGGUGCUGCCCGCCACUCGCGCAGCUGCUGCUGCAGACCCCAGGCUGUCUACCCACGCGAGGCCACCGAAAGUCCGUCCGCUCUAAGCCGACAGAACAUCGGAGGCUGAGGCAGGAAGGUCACGAAGAGUUUGAUGGCAGCCAGGACCACUUGGAGGGACCCUGUCUCCAAACUCCCCCCAAAACAACAGAAAACCCCAAAACAAAAACACAUAAACACGAAAGUCCUCUGUCUUCAUCUUUGCUUGUAUGGUGCACUAUUAUUUUGUCUAACGUACAUGGUCUCUCUCACUAUUUCCGGUCUUUCUACAUGACCCUUCAAAUCCACCGUGGGCUGAGAAAGACACCCUGGAGCACAUCUGUUGGGAGUAUUACAGUUGCGCAAGGCACACAACCCACAUCACAUUGGAAUAAGGCGGAAGAUGUCCAUCUCACGGAAAUACUCAGCCUUCAGUCAUGUGCCUGGAGUUUAAAUGACUUGACGGAGACCCAGUUUCCUUCUCAUCCAUCCUCUUCCUCACCUGGGCUUCCUCCUCGGCCCCUGCUCCUGACAGCUCCGAGACAAACUGGUCAGCGCAAGUUCAGAGAAGACCAGUGCGAUCCGCCCAGUAGCUCUGGUGCUGGUUCCAGGAUGCAGCAGCUGCCACACACGCCUGUCCUGGACGCAGUUGCUGUGGCUGGGAAACUGUCCCCAGCCCGCUCUGGGCAGCUGCGGUCCUGUCUCUGGGACAAGGGGCAGCUCCAGUUGUCAGGUGGAGGCCUCCACAUCAUUCUUGGAAACAAGAGGCUCAAACGGAGGGAGAGGGGCGGAGGGAAAGCUCCAGGCAGAAGAGGAGCAGUGGAAAUGCCGCAGCCUGGUGACAAACGGGUUACAGAAACCAGGGCUAGGGACAGGCGUGGGGAAGCCCUCGGGACUGCUUUAUGGGGAAAGCCCGAGCAUUAUUAGCAUACACGUUCGCACGAUGGUUAUUUGGUGGGACAGCAGUAUUUCUUCAUAUCCCAGUUUAGCUGUAUUCUUUGCAGCUAAAGUUGCAAAAUAAGUAAGCUUUGUAUAUGUAAACCUUCAGUAUAUGGCUCUUGAAUUAAUGGAUUUUAUUUUAGAUUCUCCCUAUUCAAAUAAUAUUUUGAAGGGAAAUAAGAAAAAAGGAAUCUUUCCUCCUUAUAUAAUUGUUUCUGCAGAUUAACGUUUGAGAAAACACAUCGCAGAUCACUUAGGAGACACUAGAAAAAUAUCAUUCAGUUGGAAACCAAAAACUUCGCUGUGCAACCAACUCAGAUUUUAAUUGGUCAUGUGACCCCAAAAAGUCCUUUGAUUUCUUGAGAUUGUGUCAACAUGAUUUUAUCAGUAUGAAUGAUGUUAUUUAAAUUCUUCAUGGGGAAAUCAGGACCCUGAAAAAAGUACCUGUAUUAUUCUAGAUAGAGCCUGUAAUGGCAUCUUAAUGCCACAUGUACCAUUCAUUUCCGGGUUCAUGCUUGAGGGUGGUUAUAAAAGUGCUUUAAAAGUUUUUAAUGAAUUAUAGAUCUCAGCACAUGUAUCUUCCAGAUGAAAAGUUAAUUAAAUCAAAUAAACAAAUGCCUACUAAAAAGCACCCUCCCGGGUGCAGGGAUUGGGUUUGGUGAGCGGUGCACACAGGAGGACGGAGCCCCUGUCUCCUCUGUGAGGCACCUGCAGCUCCGUCCGUCUGUCUGUCGGAGGGGAGGGGAGGGAAAAUGGUCCACUCAGCGGUCCUUCCAGAGUGUGACGGUGUCCGAGAAAGCAACAGAGUGUUGGGGAGUUUCAAAGAGCGGAAAGAGAAGCUCCGAGGCUACUCAGAAAGACUGUACAGGACAUAAAACUGGGAUGGUCCGCGAAGGAGGAAUGGGUAAGACAUCUCAGAGUUAAGAGAGCAACAAGAACAACAAGGCAGACACCA